rnacentral:rRNA from 1 species
UACGAAGGGGGCUAGCGUUGCUCGGAAUUACUGGGCGUAAAGGGCGCGUAGGCGGAUAGUUUAGUCAGAGGUGAAAGCCCAGGGCUCAACCCUGGAAUUGCCUUUGAUACUGGCUAUCUUGAGUUCGGGAGAGGUGAGUGGAAUGGUCGGUGUAGCGGUGAAAUGCGUAGAUAUCGAUCGGAACACCCAUGGCGAAGGCAGCUCGCUGGCCUAAAACUGACGCUGAGGCGCGAAAGCGUGGGGAGCAAACAGG